rnacentral:ncRNA from 2 species
UACGUAGGUGGCAAGCGUUGUCCGGAAUUAUUGGGCGUAAAGGGCUCGCAGGCGGUCUUCUAAGUCUGAUGUGAAAUCUUGCGGCUUAACCGUAAGCGGUCAUUGGAAACUGGAGGACUUGAGUACAGAAGAGGAGAGUGGAAUUCCACGUGUAGCGGUGAAAUGCGUAGAGAUGUGGAGGAACACCAGUGGCGAAGGCGACUCUCUGGUCUGUAACUGACGCUGAGGAGCGAAAGCGUGGGGAGCAAACAGG